rnacentral:rRNA from 1 species
UAGGGAAUAUUGCAAAAUGGGCGAAAGCCCGAUGCAGCAACGCCGCGUGGGCGAUGAAGGCCUUCGGGUCGUAAAGCCCUUUUUGAGGGGAUGAGGAAGGACAGUACCCUCAGAAUAAGCCUCGGCUAACUACGUGCCAGCAGCCGCGGUAAAACGUAGGAGGCGAGCGUUAUCCGGAUUUACUGGGCGUAAAGCGCGUGCAGGCGGAUUGGAGAGUUGGAUGUGAAAGCUCUCGGCUUAACUGGGAGAGGUCGUUCAAUACUUCCAGUCUUGAGUGCAGUAGAGGGAAGUGGAAUUCCGGGUGUAGUGGUGAAAUGCGUAGAUAUCCGGAGGAACACCAGUGGCGAAAGCGGCUUCCUGGACUGUAACUGACGCUCAGACGCGAAAGCUAGGGUAGCAAACG